CCUACGGGUGGCAGCAGUGAGGAAUAUUGGUCAAUGGCCGGAAGGCUGAACCAGCCAUGCCGCGUGAAGGUCAGUGCCCUAUGGGCGUUAAACUUCUUUUGUGCGGGAGCAAUAAUGGUCACGUGUGGCCAGACGAGAGUACCGUACGAAUAAGCAUCGGCUAACUCCGUGCCAGCAGCCGCGGUUAUACGGGGGAUGCAAGCGUUAACCGGAUUUAUUGGGUUUAAAGGGUGCGUAGGCUGUGAGGUAAGUCAGCGGUGAAAUGCCCCCGCUCAACGGGGUGAAGUGCCAUUGAUACUGCCUGGCUGGAAUGCUGAUGCCGUGGGAGGAAUGUGUGGUGUAGCGGUGAAAUGCAUAGAUAUCACACAGAACACCGAUUGCGAAGGCAUCUCACGAAUCCGCGAUUGACGCUGAUGCACGAAAGCGUGGGUAUCAAACAGGAUUAGAUACCCCUGUAGUC
rnacentral:rRNA from 1 species